CCUGUCCAACGUUAAUCGGGGCAGGGUGAGUCGACCCCUAAGGCGAGGCCGAAAGGCGUAGUCGAUGGGAAACAGGUUAAUAUUCCUGUACUUGGUGUUACUGCGAAGGGGGGACGGAGAAGGCUAUGUUGGCCGGGCGACGGUUGUCCCGGUUUAAGCGUGUAGGCUGGUUUUCCAGGCAAAUCCGGAAAAUCAAGGCUGAGGCGUGAUGACGAGGCACUACGGUGCUGAAGCAACAAAUGCCCUGCUUCCAGGAAAAGCCUCUAAGCAUCAGGUAACAUCAAAUCGUACCCCAAACCGACACAGGUGGUCAGGUAGAGAAUACCAAGGCGCUUGAGAGAACUCGGGUGAAGGAACUAGGCAAAAUGGUGCCGUAACUUCGGGAGAA
rnacentral:rRNA from 1 species